UUCGGAGGUACUCGAGUGGCGAACGGGUGAGUAACACGUGGGUGAUCUGCCCUGCACUCUGGGAUAAGCCUGGGAAACUGGGUCUAAUACCGGAUAGGACCAUGCUUUAGUGUGUGUGGUGGAAAGUUUUUUCGGUGUAGGAUGAGCCCGCGGCCUAUCAGCUUGUUGGUGGGGUAACGGCCUACCAAGGCGGCGACGGGUAGCCGGACUGAAAGGUUGGUCGGCCACAUUGGGACUGAGAUACGGCCCAG
rnacentral:rRNA from 1 species